GGGGUAUUGAGAGGGAGGAGUGGAGAGGGAUCAGGGCUCUCCACCUUUAGGGGGAGUGGCCCAGGUGGUAGCCAGGUAGAAUAUGGCCUCUCCCCCUUUUCCUUGCCCUUUUGGUCAACAAGGAAGAGGGUCUGAGCAGGGCAAGGUGGCAAGGUGGUACCCCUGGGAAGAGGCAACUGUUUGGGCAUCAUUUGGGAACAGAGCUGGGACAAUCUGGGUUGGAUUUAUUCCCAAAGUUUCCCAAUGUUCCCAUUCUGCUUCCUCUUAGUUAUUCUCUUGACACAGAGGUUUACACUUUAUCCAUUUAUUUGUUAGGUGAAUAUAGAGUAAAUACAUGUCUAGCCCUGUAUUAGCCCAAGGGUGGUUUUAUUUAUUUCAGAGUGAUUCUUUUUCAAGGUGGAAGGAAGGAAUAUACUGACUAAAGAAAUAGAAGGCAAGGUCCAGUUGGAAAACCACUACAAAUCCAACUGGAAAAGUAACACAUGUUCACACCUACAGCUAGGAAGCCUCUCAAAUGAUAUUAUACAAUGCUGAGGGAAAGUACAAAAAAAACUUAAAACUUUUCAACAAAUGAGCUUUAUGAACUGAUGUUUAAAAGGUAGAAGGAAAUGUUAGCCCACAGAAAGGGUACCACAAUGCUGUCUACUGGCAGGCUAAUAUUGACCUCCAAGGAUGUGUGAGUCAAAGGGCACGCUCAACACAAGGGACCCCUUUUCCCAGUGGGAAUAAACCUGAACUUUCCUCAAUCUAGCAGUUUGUGGCAUUAUCAAUUUCCUUUGUUCCUGUCUGGGAAACAGUGCCUGACACCAGAAGUCACUUAUAAGCCACACCCUUUCACCACUAUGGGUGUGUGCAGGCCAGGUCUCUGCCACACAGAGGCACACAGUCAGGGACUGUCACU